UACGGGGGGAGCAAGCGUUGUUCGGAUUUACUGGGCGUAAAGGGCUCGUAGGCGGCCAACUAAGUCAGACGUGAAAUCCCCUCGGCUUAACCGGGGAACUGCGUCUGAUACUGGAUGGCUUGAAUCCGGGAGAGGGAUGCGGAAUUCCAGGUGUAGCGGUGAAAUGCGUAGAUAUCUGGAGGAACACCGGUGGCGAAGGCGGCAUCCUGGACCGGCAUUGACGCUGAGGAGCGAAAGCCAGGGGAGCAA
rnacentral:rRNA from 1 species